GAUGAACGCUGGCGGCGUGCCUAAUACAUGCAAGUCGAGCGAAUGGAUUAAGAGCUUGCUCUUAUGAAGUUAGCGGCGGACGGGUGAGUAACACGUGGGUAACCUGCCCAUAAGACUGGGAUAACUCCGGGAAACCGGGGCUAAUACCGGAUAACAUUUUGAACCGCAUGGUUCGAAAUUGAAAGGCGGCUUCGGCUGUCACUUAUGGAUGGACCCGCGUCGCAUUAGCGAGUUGGUGAGGUAACGGCUCACCAAGGCAACGAUGCGUAGCCGACCUGAGAGGGUGAUCGGCCACACUGGGACUGAGACACGGCCCAGACUCCUACGGGAGGCAGCAGUAGGGAAUCUUCCGCAAUGGACGAAAGUCUGACGGAGCAACGCCGCGUGAGUGAUGAAGGCUUUCGGGUCGUAAAACUCUGUUGUUAGGGAAGAACAAGUGCUAGUUGAAUAAGCUAACACCUUGACGGUACCUAACCAGAAAGCCACGGCUAACUACGUGCCAGCAGCCGCAGUAA
rnacentral:rRNA from 1 species